AUGAAUUUGAAUUUGGGAUAUGUUUGUGAUGAUUUACAAAAAAACCCACAAGUAUUGAUAAAGCUGUAAAUUUUAGGGUGGUCAUAUGAGUCCUCUGUGCUUCCAUUUCUCUGUCUGUAAAAGGGAAAGAAACAAUAGUAACGAACUUAUUGAGCAUUAAAUGAGAUGCUCCCUAUAAAACCUGGCAGGAUACUUGGUAGCCGUUUAUUGUCAUUUACAUUAAGUAUUAGCAUUGCUCUUACUAUUCUAUGUAAUCUUCCAGAAACUAUGAAGAGCUCUGAUUUAAAUACGAAGACAUUGGGUUACCAGCUUCUCCAUCUAUACAAUGGACCAUUAGAUCAGGCGUGCUUCUGGAAAACCCUAGAGGGCGCUGUUUUCUUGCUUGUUACCACUUUUGCCUUGGCCUCUCAAUGGGAAAAUGGAAAGGAAAAAAAGAGGAGUGAAGUAAAUAGAUCUUAAAUGAAACACAAACUGUCCAAGCCUGAGGGGAAUGAACGUAUCAAGUCUAAGUUCCUCUUUGCCAGGUGAGAAUGCAGAAGCCCGGUGGGAUGAGGAGCUUAUC
rnacentral:lncRNA from 1 species